CCUUAUAAGGAUGCCAUUUCACCCAUGCGUUUCUGGGUGCGGUCGUUACCUGGCAACGGGUGACGGUCACGAUUGCUGCCUCACGUGUCUGGGCAAACACGCUGAGGUAGCUUUCGUGGAUGAGUCAUGUUCCCUCUGCGGGAAGAUGACCAUCUCGGAGCUGUGAACCAGGCUCCGCUUCCUUCAAAAAAAGUGGGCAGAGUCCCGUUGCCGCUGCCGCGAUCUGGGGCUCGUUCUGGCGGCCGACAGAUGAGAACCACUUCAGGUUCUCCGAUCCAGAGGAGUAACCCACGGAACGCGCUGGGCCCUCUUCAAAGAGCGUACCAGUGGUAUCCAGUGGGCCUCCCCCCCAACCAGAUGUCGAUCUCAGCAUCGGAGGGAGAGCUGUCUGAUGAAGAUUCAGCUGCGCUGCCGCCCUCUGGGACAGUGGCAAAGCCUGAAUUGGAUCCGGAGAUGACAGCUAUGCUUUCCCGGGCUGCCGAGAGGGCAGGGCUUGAGUGGAAAUCGCCACCGCGUCCCGAGCCCUCGAGGCAGGAUGAUUGGUUUCUCAAGGUGGCGCGUGCUGGUUCUCAGCGGCCCACCCUGGUGUCUUUCUUCCCGGAAGUGCAUGACGAGCUCACCAGGUUGUGGAUGGCACCUUUUACUGCCAGAAACCGGCUGGUGGGCUCCUCCUCCCUCACCACCCUCGAUGGCGGUGCAGCGAAGGGGUAUUCGGUGAUUAACUCAGUGGAGCGGGCGGUAGCGAUGCAAUUGUGUCCUAAGUCUGCCUCCUGCUGGCGGGGACACCCGGUGCUUCCUUCCCGGGCCUAUAGGCAUUCAUCUGGUCUAACCGGCAGUGCCUAUAUGGCUUGCGGGGAAGCUGCUUCUGCCUUACACGCUGUGGCGUUACUGCAGGUGCACCAGGCCAAGGCACUGAAGGACCUGCACGAGGGUGGUCACAAUCCAGAAGUUCUGAAAGAACUCAGAACCGCCACUGGCCUUGCGCUCCGAGCGACGAAGGUCACCGCGCGUUCUCUGGGUCGUGCGAUGUCCACGCUUGUGGUCCAGGAGCGCCAUCUCUGGCUGAGUCUGGUUGAAAUGAGGGACGCCGACAAAGAUCAGUUCCUUAAUGCCUGUGUCCCAGACCGGCCUCUUCGGUGACGUGGUCGAGAACCUGGCCCAGCAGUUCUUGGCUGCACGGGAGCAGACUGAGGCGGUCCAACCUUCUGCCCGNNNNNNNNNNNNNNNNNNNNNNNNNNNNNNNNNNNNNNNNNNNN
ensembl:lncRNA